AGAUCGCAAGCUAAAUCAUCCAUCUUAGGAGGUACAGACUACAGGGGGCCGUGGCUUCCUCUUAACCGCGGCAGCUGCUGAUAAAUACUGUACUAUUAACAGUGAGGCCCGGCGUAAUUUCCUUAUUAGAGGGCUUCUUUACGUCUCUUCAUCCCAAACUGGGAAAUGAGUCUCACCCUGAUGUCCAGGCUGGAGUGCAAUCACUCAGUCUCGGCUCACUGCAACCUCCACCUCCUGGGUUCAGGUAAUUCUCCUGCCUCAGCCUCCCAAGUAGCUGGGAUUACAGGCGCCCACCACCAUGCCCAGCUAAUUUUUAAUUUUUUUUAGUAGAGAUGGGGGUUUCACCAUGGUGGCCAGGCUGGUCUCGAACUCCUGACCUCGUGAUCCACCCGCCUCGGCCUCCCAAAGUGCUGGGAUUACAGGCAUGAGCCACCGCACCUGGCCUAAAAAUUCUUCUUUAGUAUAUAUGUAAAAGAACAGGGAUGUUUUAGAGCUUCUUGUGGGGAAAAGAAAGGGAGACCAGAUUGUUACUGUGUCUGUGUAGAAAGAAGUAGACAUAGGAGGCUCCAUUUUGUUCUGUACUAAGAAAAAUUCUUCUGCAUUGAGAUGCUGUUAAUCUGUAACACUACCCCCAACCCUGUGCUCCCUGAAACACGUGCUGUGUCAACUCAGGGUUAAAUGGAUUAAGGGCUGUGCAGGGUGUGCUUUGUUAAACAAAUGCUUGAAGGUAGCAUGCUUGUUAAGAGUCAUCACCACUCCCUAAUCUCAAACCACUUCCUAAUCUCAAGUACCCAGAGACACAAACCACUGAGGAAGGCCGCAGGGAUCUCUGCCUAGGAAAGCCAGGUAUUGUCCAAGGUUUCUCCCCAUGUGAUAGCCUGAGAUAUGGCCUCGUGGGAAGGGAAAGACCUGACCGUCCCCCAGCCCGACACCCGUAAAGGGUCUGUGCUGAGGAGGAUUAGUAAAAGAGGAAGUAACACCUCCUUGCGGUUGAGACAAGAGGAAGGCAUCUGUCUCCUGCUCGUCCCUGGGCAAUGGAAUGUCUCGGUGUAAAACCUGAUUGUAUAUUCCAUCUACUGAGAUAGGGGAAAGCCACCUUAGGGCUGGAGGUGGGACAUGCGGGCAGCAAUACUGCUCUUUAAGGCAUUGAGAUGUUUAUGUGUAUACAUAUCCAAAGCACAGCACUUAAUUCUUUACCUUGUUUAUGAUGCAGAGACCUUUGUUCACGUGUUUACCUGCUGACCUUCUCUCCACUAUUAUCCUAUGAUCCUGCCACAUCCCCCUCUCCGGGAAACGCCCAAUAAUGAUCAAUAAAUACUAAGGGAACUCAGAGGCUGGCGUGGAUCCUCCGUAUACUGAACGCUGGUCAGCUGGGCCCAGUUUUCUUUCUCUAUACUUUGUCUCUGUGUCUCUUGUUCCACCUAACGAGAAACGCCCACAGGUGUGGAGGGGCAACCCACCCCUUCACUUUUGUAAUAUAUAGGUCUCAAGAAAGAGUCAGUCUGGCUCACUAGACAAAAAUCUAUUUUUAAUUGUAUAAAAUUAUACAUAUAAAAUACAUAGAAUGUACUAAGAAGAUGAGUAAAAUCUUUGACACCAGAAGUGGACAGAUCAGGAAACAAUUUUUCUCAAGUUAUUUGGGAUCUUACUGGUUGGUAUUUGAGAAAAAUAAUAAAUCCAGGAGGUACGAGGGCAAUUCUUCCCACAACUCACACCCCUUAAUCCACACGUCCCAGAGAAAGGAGAAACAGGAGUGUUGAUGAGUGCCAGCUUAUAAAUGUCAAACAGACACACCUGGUGUGUCUAGCUGUUUUUGCCUUUACUCCAACCCGACGUGUUUCAUGGAAUACAAACAUGGGGCUUCUACCCCAGCUCUCUUCUGAUUAGUAAGAAAAAAAAAAUGAUAGGGCCUGGAGAAUUCAAGGAAGCCCGUUUCAAGCACUAAUAAAAUUGUAGCUGGAUUCCUUACCUCUUACCCAACAUGAUUUCAAAAGCAAGAAAGUUGCCUUUCAUCUUGCCCCUAUCAAAUCCAAAAGAGCCAAUUAUAGCCUGUUUCAUAAUCUAUUUUUAUUGUUGUUGUUACACUUGAACUUUCUGUUUGGAACCUAAUCUAUUUCUAAAAGCAAAGUCUGUAUAAUUGUUAAGUGGGAAGUCCAAUUGCAGGAAUACUAAAUGUUCCAAGCUCAGUUUAGAAAGUACAUGGGACAAUAAUAUAGUAUAAAUAAGAGAUCACAGAGACAAGGGGGAAAUAUAUAUUAGAGACCUCCAAAAAAAUUCUCUGAAAGGAGAAUACUUUAGCUGCUGUACUACAGGUUAUUUCUCUCUUAUGUCACCCAGGAGAGAAGUGGGGGAGAAUGGUGUUAAAAACACAAAUAGUGCCGGGCGCGGUGGCUCACGCCUGUAAUCCCAGCACUUUGGGAGGCCGAGGCGGGCGGAUCACGAAGUCAGGAAAUCGAGACCAUCCUGUCAAACACGGUGAAACCCCGUCUCUACUAAAAAUACAAAAAAAUUAGCCAGGCAUGGUGGCGGGCGCCUGUAGUCCCAGCUACUAAGGAGGCUGAGGCAGGAGAGUGGCGUGAACCCGGGAGGCGGAGCUUGCAGUGAGCCGAGAUAGCGCCACUGCACUCCAGCCUGGGCGACAGAGCGAGACUCCGUCUCAAAAAAAAAAAAAACACACAAAUAGUUUGGGAGGCCGAGGCAGGUGGAUCACGAGGUCAGGAGAUGGAGACCGUCCUGGCUAACAUGGUGAAACCCCGUCUCUACUAAAAAUACAAAAAAUUAGCUGGGCGUGGUGGUGGGCACCUGUAAUCCCAGCUACUCGGGAGGCUGAGGCAGGAGAAUGGUGUGAAUCUGGGAGGCGGAGGUUGCAGUGAGCCGAGAUCGCGCCACUGCACUCUAGCCUGGGCGACAGAGCAAGACUCCGUCUCAAAAACAAAAACAAAAACAAAACCAAAAAAAAACCACAAAUAGGCCAGGCUCAGUGCCUCACGCCUGUAAUCCCAGCACUUUGGGAGGCUGAGGCGGGUGGAUUACCUUAUGUCAGGAGUUCAAGAACAGCCUGGCCAACAUGGUGAAACCCUGUCUCUACUAAAAAUAUAAAAAUUAGCCAGGCGUUGUGGCGUGUGCCUGUAAUCCCAGCUACUCGGGAAGCUGAGGCAAGAGAAUCGCUUGAACCCUGGAGGCAGAGGUUGCAGUGAGCCGAGAUCACGCCACUGCACUCCAGCCUGGGCAAAAGUGUGAGACUCUGUCUUCCAAAAAAAAAAAAAAACCACACACACACACAAAUAACUGAUCAUUGAUUCUCUUUCCCUUCCUGCAGUCUCCCAAGGUGUCAAUUAGGAAGUGCCAAAAUACUAAAGUCUCAUUUAAUUUUCCUGAUCAACUUAUGUUCUAAUAAUUAAUGUGGAAGGAGAGGAAAGAAAGAGAAAACAAAUGAGAAUCUAAGGUAGUAAACAGCAGCAACUUAGCGGGAAUAAGGGGAACAUGGUUCUCACUAACCAAAUAGGACUGAUAACGCUUCCAAAAAAUAAAAUGUUAGGUGAAGGGAAAUAUGGAAAUAUGUUUUACUUUCUACUAAUAGCUGCAGGCAGGAAGGUCCAAACGCAGGGUUUAACUAAGCUGGGGGAGUAGGGGAGAUGUUUAGAGGGAAUACUGAAAGAGAAUCAGUUUCAACCAUAACCCCCAUCUACUGUAGAGUAUAUCCAGAAAUCUAGACUACUAGUAUGGUAUACAUAUGCCCUAGAAGCAACUUAGGUAGUAAACUCCCAUGAAUUGUUUGUAAUUUAUCUUGUCCCUGGGCAGUUUCUUAGGAGGGGUUUCAGAAGCAAGAUCUCUACUUCCUUCAGAAUAAUAAGGUAGGGAAGGAAGCCUCAAAACAAAGUGGCAAUUUGGAGGCAGAGAAGGAAUAAGGUAGUGGUGGGGAGGAAAGGGAUAGCAAGCAGGUUCAGUUCAGGAACUAAAGGCAAAAUCUUCAUACUCAUACCCUGUUUGAGUCCAAGAGGAAGCAGGAAUGAGAGUAAGGGUGGGGCACAUAAUCCUUAUUCAAGUUACCUGAUAUUUGAAAAGAAGGACACAUGAACACUAGAGUUAAUCUUUUAGUGCUACUGAAAUGGCUACACAGUUAAUCUGGAAGUUUAAGAGCUAACAAAGCUGCAAAGACAAGCUGCUCUUUGUUGUAAAGUGGACUGAAGAUGUUUCAAAUAAAACUACAUCCAAAAACUGGUAGUAAGAAAAGGGAUCUCUUAGCAAAUAGGAAUCUAGGUGUAGAAUUUAUACACAUAUAUAUUUUUUAAAGUAUAAAAAUGAGAAAGUAUGUACAAAAAAUCAUCCUAAAUCUUAGAAAGGAGACAUAAAAAAAGGCUGUGGAAAGCCUGGGGAGUUAUGUGGGUGGAUGCCUAGCAGUUGGAAGAAUGCAUAUUGCCCAACUGCCCAGCAGCCAGCACAAGAAUAUCUUUCUUCUCCUUGUGGAAGCGCAGCUCCUUGCCUGCCAGUCGGGCUUCAUCCAGCUCCCGCUCAGUAGAGGCCAGCUCUCUAGACAGUGCCCCCGGCACACUCUGCUCCCGGCUCACCCAGUCCAAGGCCAUUUGGUGGCGAAUAUCAUCAUCCAGGGCCCGGUGCGAAUAAUGAGCCAACACCUCCUAGUAGGGGAGGGGAAUGUGAACAUCAUUGAGAAGGUAAAGGUUCAUAUCAUACCACACUGACCCAACUGGGACUAAGAACUCAGCUUUAGAGACCUAACUGAGGUCAGCACCUAAGUUCUUCAAGGAGAUUCUUAAAGGCACUUCCUGCUACGGGAAGCAAGAUAGACAAAAGAAUCACAGCUAAUAUUUACACAGGAAAGAUUAUAGGAAUGAAGAGGGUACUUAGGUAAGGCUUUCAAUAUUCACAACCAUAGGUCACAAUAGACCUUAUUUCUAACAUAGUAACCACCUCAAAAGAGUCCACUGACAGAUUGUGCUCCCCUCAUUCGCCCCCACUCAUAAAAUCUCUUACCUGCCGAGAGCAUUGUCGUUCCCUCAUGGCCUUAAGGCUGCCAUUCCAGUGUAGCAGUUGAAAAACUGUCAUUAGCUCCUGGGGGAAGAGGAUAGGAAGUACCAGGACAGUGAUUUUUAUAUUGGGAGGUUGCAUCAGAAUUACAUGGGAAACCUUUUACAAAAUGGAUUUGUAGAAGCAUCUCUCAUCACUAACUCUGAUAGGCCUUUGGGGAAGAAAAAUAUUUAUUUAUUUAUUUAUUUAUUUAUUUAUUUAUUUAUUUAUUUACUUACUUACUUACUUAUUUGAGACAGAGUCUUGCUCUGUCACCCAGGCUGGAGUGUAGUGGCGCAAUCUCAGCUCACUGCAACCUCUGCUUCCUGGGUUCAAGCAAUUCUCGUGCUUCAGCCUCCCAAGUAGCUGGGAUUACAGGCAUGUGCCAUCAUAGCUAAUUUUUGUAUUUUUAGUAGAAACGGGGCUUUGCCAUGUCUCAAACUCCUGGCCUCAAGUGAUCCACCCGCCUCAGCCUCCCAAAGUGCUGGGAUUACAGGCCUGAGCCACCAUGCCCAGCCAGGAAGGUAUUUAUUUUUGAAAAAUAGUGUAACAACCUUCUUUCUUUUCCAGUAUCAAUGAGUUAGGAAUUAGUAGGAGCCAUUAUAUAUUACAGUAGCAGGCUGACCCAUGUUAUUAGAACCAGGGAAGUACAUGGGAAAGUACCUGGAACUCCAACAUUGAUUUGCCCUUGUUGGAUUCCAGCAUGAAUCGGAAGGCACCAAUCCCUGUAUUUGGGUUGUCAGCUUCCUCCCUGUUGCCCUGGUAGUAGAGGAACAGAAAAGACAAAUAGAUUUUCAACCAGGAUUAUCAUCUCAAGCAGCACUGUCCAGUAGAAAUAUAAUGCAAGCCACAUAUUUAAUUCAAAAUUUCCUCUCUGCCACAUUAAAGUAAAAAUAAAGAGGUAAGUCCAGGUGCAGUGGCUCAUGCCUGUAAUCCCAGCACUGUGGGAGGCCAAGGUGGGCAGAUC
rnacentral:lncRNA from 1 species